AUCUUUGCGCUUGGGGCAAUGACGCAGUUCGUGAGGUAAUAACUGAGGCGCGUCAAUUGCUGGUUGAAAACUAUUUCCAAACCCCCUCUUCAGCCUGGGUUUGGCCCAGGCUGUUGAGAAUUUCUGGAAGGGCGCUCCCCUCUGGGGUAAAGCC